AAUUAUUUAAUUAUUUUUAUUUUUAAUUCCACAUAACAAAACCUUGAAAGCCUUUGAGUACAGAAAUGACAAUAUCCAACAGAACUAAUAAGCUCUUAAUCUCAACAACCAUUGAGUGGAUUCUUAUAGAUGCCAAACAGCUGCAGGAGGGCUCAAUUAUCAGGGCCAGCCCGGUGAUGAUCGACUUGUGUUGGGGCGGUGGUCCCCUUUUGCUUGACUCCGUCAACAGAGCACUUUUGACCCUUGGUAUUCACUUGGCUUGGACGCUCUCCUACAAUUAAUUGGACUGCACUACGCUGGUGGUACAAAUAACUUGCAACCACCGAUUAAAUCUACACUAGGCUAUGGAAUGACAGAAUCUAGUUGAGAGCACCACGUAGCACACCGCCGAUGUGCUCGCUGAUUCUAGCUCCAACCACCAAACAGCGAAUACAAUUUCACCUUGUCCAAACUGGGAGACUCACCAAUAUUACUCCAAGUUGACUUCUUGCAAAGUAACAAGUCCCAUGUGAAUGUUGGAUGAUAACUCCCAACUAGCAAGGACAACUACCGUAGUAUGGUUCACCGUGCAAAUACAAGGAAAAAAACAUAUAGAGCUACAAGAAUGGGGUGAAUCUAACAUAGUGCUUUGGCAACCACGUGAUGGUAGAGAUAGAGAAUUUGAGUAGCCUAGUUACGUGGACCUAGGUAGGCGAUGUAGAGCAGCAAUCAAAACGUGGACUUCCGCUAUAGCAUCUAUGGUUGCAGCAAAACCGCCUGAAGCGUCUUCAGUCAUCACACAAUGUGCCUGAUGGUAAAAAAAACAAAACAAAACAAAACAAAAAACAAAAAAAAACAAAUAGCACGACACUAGUAUUCGGCAACGCGGCAACAACACUGAUUCCGUCGACCGCCACUACAAUGCCGCAGGAGCAAACAUGAGGAAACAAUGAUGCAUGGGAAGAGCCUCCUCCUUGCUAAAUGAGCAAUCGCCUAUGCAAGACCACCUUGAUGAGGGCCAGCACCACCAAUGCCAACAAUUCAACCGCAAGAACUCGGCAUUGACCAGUCAGCCCUUGACAGCAACAUAGCCAUAGAGCAUCAACCUCCGAACCACAGCACCCACCGCAACAGAUGUAGGAAAAGGUAGCGUAGCCACCAUUAACCGCUGAGAACAUGCGGUGUAGCAAUGCACGGAGCCCAACCAAAACCGAACCCAGAACAAGAACCACAACCAGUUUGGAAGAACAAAAUAAAAGAAUAGCGUAGACGAAACCGUAGCCGUGCAAGCAUAUGCUAAGGGAACCACAAUGUAACCAAUCUGCCCAAAAUAAAUUGAGAGUCCACAACAAACAAGCAUCGAUACUAGGAUAGCAACAAAACGUGAAUAAUCGUAGACCACAACAUUGCCUUCCGCUUGAACCACUUCACCACUUCACCACUUGACUUCGCCAAGUUGCAAGUACUAACCAAGCUCUAAACGUUACUGCAACUCCGCAGCAUAACGAAAACUCAGCCAGCCUCCAACCACAGCACCAAAAUCCGCGGAGCUCCUGGUCCGCGAGAGAAGAAAAAUGAGAGAGACACGAAUUCAAAGUCCAAGCCGGA
rnacentral:lncRNA from 1 species